AGCCUGGGAAAUCGGACCCUUAGGUAGCUGGUGCAGCAGGGGCUGGAGAGACCUCUCGAUUCCCAGGAUAUGUUCUUCCUCUCCCCCACCCCCCCGGUCUAAAUGGAUCGCUCCGCCUAUUUCCUCCUCCGCUCCUAGGGCGCAAUGGAAUGUUCCAAUGCCCCUCCGGUCCUGGGCCUGCUUUACGGGGGACGCUCGCACGGUUGCCAGGGAAAGCCCCGGACGUGACGGCUGAGCGCGACCCCAGCAGCCUCCCCUCUCCCAUCAGUCUUUCCCCUGCGCGCGCCCUCCUCACACCCUUCCCCAUCCCCCACUGGGUUUCAGACUGGGGAGAAGUAAACAGCCGGCGGAGCUGGGCUCACGGACCCAGGCCAGGCGGGAGCAUGCUGGGGCCGGGUCCGUGGCUCCUGCCGGCGGGGCUCCUCCUCCUGUUGCCGUUCCUGACCCUGCUGCUGCCCGCAGUCCCCGCGCCCCACCGCGCGUCCUACAAGCCCGUCAUCGUUGUGCACGGACUCUUUGACAGCUCGUAUAGCUUCCGCCACCUGCUGGAAUACAUCAACGAGACACACCCUGGGACUGUGGUGACUGUGCUCGAUCUCUUCGAUGGGAGAGAGAGCUUGCGGCCCCUGUGGGAACAGGUGCAAGGGUUCGGAGAGGCUGUGGCCCCCAUCAUGGCAAAGGCCCCUCAAGGGGUGCAUCUCAUCUGCUACUCCCAGGGGGGCCUGGUAUGCCGGGCACUGCUCUCUGUCAUGGAUGAGCACAAUGUGGAUUCUUUCAUCUCUCUCUCCUCUCCACAGAUGGGACAGUAUGGAGAUACAGACUAUUUGAAGUGGCUCUUCCCCACCUCCAUGAGGUCUAACCUCUACCGAAUCUGCUAUAGCCCCUGGGGCCAGGAAUUCUCCAUCUGCAACUACUGGCAUGAUCCCCACCAUGAUGAUUUGUACCUCAAUGCCAGCAGCUUCCUGGCCCUGAUCAAUGGGGAAAGGGACCAUCCUAAUGCCACUGCAUGGCGCAAGAACUUUCUUCGUGUGGGCCGCCUGGUGCUGAUUGGGGGCCCUGAUGAUGGUGUUAUUACUCCUUGGCAGUCCAGCUGUGAGUUUCCUGAAGGACCCUAGCCCACCUCAAUUUUCUGCAGCUCUCCUGGUAACCCGCCCCCACUUCCUCCCAUCUCUUUGUAGCUUCUUUGGGUUCUAUGAUGCAAAUGAGACGGUCUUGGAGAUGGAGGAGCAACUGGUUUAUCUUCGGGAUUCUUUUGGGUUGAAGACUCUCUUGGCCCGGGGGGCCAUAGUGAGGUGUCCAAUGGCUGGGAUAUCCCACACAGCCUGGCACUCUAACCGUACCCUUUAUGAGACCUGCAUUGAACCUUGGCUGUCCUGAGGACACUUCCAGGAAUCCCUCAGGAAUUCCCCAGCCCAGAGACCAAGUGGUGGCCUUGGAAAACAGAUGUCAGGCUGUGGUGUGCCUGUGACCACCUCAUUGCUCCCACACUGCCCCACCAACCAGGGCUCCCAGGACCCCCUCUGCUCCUCCAUGAAUGACAAAUCCUGGUCUCCUCCCACCUCAUGCUCUCUCUUUUGGGGGUUGCUCCAUCCUCUGUCAUCCUCUGAAGGCUGAGGUUGCAAAGUGAGAAACCAGGUUUUUAACUUGUGGGUCCUCCUGCUGCUGCUCCAUCUCUGGCUGUAUUGGAUGAGAAUCCAGCCCCUGCCUGCCACAGGGGUCUCCUUCCAGGCCACUCAGGACACUGUUAGUUUCUGUUCUCCCCAUGUGCCCUUCUCCUCUGAACUCCCCUUUCAUCAGCCCUCCUAACCCCAGGAAAGUCUACCCAUGAAAGUGGGGUUCUGAGGCUCCCCUAUGGGGACAGUUCUGUUCUUGAAGUGUCAGUGUUGGGGAAUAUCUGUGGCCUGCGAGGCCCAUCUCAGGUUUGGGGAUCCCCCAGUCCCUAUGUUCAGUGUUGGGGUACCGCCUGGGAGCCUAGUUUCUUCAAGGCCCCAGCCCCUCUUUUAGCUACCCUUGAAUGGAUGUUAACCCCUGUAUUUAUGGAAAUAAAGUUCAAUUUCCUCA